UACCAGACUCCUACGGGAGGCAGCAGUGGGGAAUAUUGCACAAUGGGGGGAACCCUGAUGCAGCGACGCCGCGUGGGUGAAGGAGCACCUCGGUGCGUAAAGCCCUAUCGGCAGGGAAGAAGGAGGACGGUACCUGACUAAGAAGCCCCGGCUAACUACGUGCCAGCAGCCGCGGUAAUACGUAGGGGGCAAGCGUUAUCCGGAUUUACUGGGUGUAAAGGGGGCGCAGACGGCAGCGCAAGCCAGGAGUGAAAGCCCGGGGCCCAACCCCGGGACUGCUCUGGAAACUGCGUCGCUGGAGUACGGGAGGGGCAGGCGGAAUUCCUGGUGUAGCGGUGAAAUGCGUAGAUAUCAGGAGGAACACCGGCGGCGAAGGCGGCCUGCUGGACCGCGACUGACGUUGAGGCUCGAAAGCGUGGGGAGCGAACAGGAUUAGAUACCCGGGUAAC
rnacentral:rRNA from 1 species